AAGUAUUAAAUGUGUGUAAACAAUAAAGAUUCUAAAUGUGUUCCAUUAAUGUGUUGUGGGUAAGGUUAGGAUGACCCAUCUCAAUCAGAGUCCACAUUUCGUGUUGACUCUGAAAAAUGUUGCUUCCCUUGCAAACUUUCACAAACAAUACUUCAAAAACUACCAUUCAUCGCCUGACACAUGUCCAAGAAAACCCCACUACUUUCCCACCACGCAAUGCCAUGUCUGC
rnacentral:lncRNA from 1 species